GAAGGAACUUCUGCUGUGAUCU
rnacentral:miRNA from 1 species